GGGAGUGUGGUCUAGUCGUAUGAUUCUCGCUUCGGAUAACGACUUGCGAGAGGCCCCGGGUUCAAAUCCCGGCUCUCCCC